rnacentral:rRNA from 1 species
GACAGAGGAUGCAAACGUUGCUCGGAAUUACUGGGCGUAAAGCGCGUGUAGGCGGGUUUCCAAGUCAGAUGUGAAAUCCCCGGGCUCAACCCGGGAACUGCAUUUGAAACUGGGAGUCUUGAGUAUCGGAGAGGAAAGCGGAAUUCCUGGUGUAGAGGUGAAAUUCGUAGAUAUCAGGAGGAACACCGGUGGCGAAGGCGGCUUUCUGGACGAUAACUGACGCUGAGACGCGAAAGCGUGGGGAGCAAACAGG